GACGAACGCUGGCGGCGUGCUUAACACAUGCAAGUCGAACGGAAAGGCCCUGCUUUUGUGGGGUGCUCGAGUGGCGAACGGGUGAGUAACACGUGAGUAACCUGCCCUUGACUUUGGGAUAACUUCAGGAAACUGGGGCUAAUAUCGGAUAGGAGCUCCUGCUGCAUGGUGGGGGUUGGAAAGUUUCGGCGGUUGGGGUUGGACUCGCGGCUUAUCAGCUUGUUGGUGGGGUAGUGGCUUACCAAGGCUUUGACGGGUCGCCGGCCUGAGAGGGGGACCGGCCACAUUGGGACUGAGAGACGGCCCAGACUCCUACGGGAGGCAGCAGUGGGGAAUAUUGCACAAUGGGCGGAAGCCUGACGCAGCAACGCCGCGUGCGGGAUGACGGCCUUCGGGUUGUAAACCGCUUUCGCCUGUGACGAAGCGUGAGUGACGGUAAUGGGUAAAGAAGCACCGGCUAACUACGUG
rnacentral:rRNA from 1 species